rnacentral:rRNA from 1 species
AUGACCUCAAAUCAGAUGAGACUACCCGCUGAACUUAAGCAUAUCAAUAAGCGGAGGAAAAGAAACUAACAAGGAUUCCCUCAGUAACGGCGAGUGAAGAGGGAAGAGCUCAGUUUUGAAAUCUGGCAGUCAUUCACUGUCCGAGUUGUAAAUUGAAGAGAGUGUCAUCCACACUGGACCAUGUCUAAAUUGUAAUGAUCCACAGUCCUUUGAUGGAGUAUCAGAGAGGGUAAUAAUCCCGUCUUUAACGUGGACUCCCAGUGUUUAUGUGAUGCAUUCUCUCAGAGUCGAGUAGUUUGGGAAUGCUGCUCUAAUGGGAGGUAAACUCCUUCUAAAGCUAAAUAUUGGCGAGAGACCGAUAGCGAACAAGUACCGUGAGGGAAAGAUGAAAAGAACUCUGAAAAGAGAGUCAAACAGAACGUGAAAUUGCUGAAAGGGAAGCGUUUGGAGUCAGAUGCGUCUUCAUGGAAUAACGACUCAGUUAGCAGAGACUGAGGUCAGUGACUUGAAGAUGGGCCAGCACUCACGUAGACCAUUGAAAAAGGGGUCAUUGGAAUGUAGCUCAAUUUAUUGAGUUAUUAUAGCCUUGAUUCAUAUAC